rnacentral:rRNA from 1 species
AUUGAACGCUGGCGGCAGGCCUAACACAUGCAAGUCGAACGGUAACAGAAAGCAGCUUGCUGCUUUGCUGACGAGUGGCGGACGGGUGAGUAAUGUCUGGGAAACUGCCUGAUGGAGGGGGAUAACUACUGGAAACGGUAGCUAUACCGCAUAACGUCGCAAGACCAAAGAGGGGGACCUUCGGGCCUCUUGCCAUCGGAUGUGCCCAGAUGGGAUUAGCUAGUAGGUGGGGUAACGGCUCACCUAGGCGACGAUCCCUAGCUGGUCUGAGAGGAUGACCAGCCACACUGGAACUGAGACACGGUCCAGACUCCUACGGGAGGCAGCAGUGGGGAAUAUUGCACAAUGGGCGCAAGCCUGAUGCAGCCAUGCCGCGUGUAUGAAGAAGGCCUUCGGGUUGUAAAGUACUUUCAGCGGGGAGGAAGGGAGUAAAGUUAAUACCUUUGCUCAUUGACGUUACCCGCAGAAGAAGCACCGGCUAACUCCGUG